GACGAACCGUCCGAACGUUAUUCGGUAUCACUGGGCUUAAAGAGUUCGUAGGCGGCCGUGUAGGUCAGGUGUGAAGUCCCACAGCUCAACUGUGGAACUGCGCUUGAAACCACACGGCUUGAGGAAGAUAGAGGUGAGUGGAACAGAUGGUGAAGCGGUGAAAUGCGUGGAUAUCAUCUGGAACACCGGUGGCGAAAGCGGCUCACUGGAUCUUUUCUGACGCUGAGGAACGAAAGCUAGGGUAGCGAACGGG
rnacentral:misc_RNA from 1 species